rnacentral:rRNA from 1 species
AAACUGAAGAGUUUGAUCAUGGCUCAGAUUGAACGCUGGCGGCAGGCNUAACACAUGCAAGUCGAGCGGUAACANNUCUAGCUUGCUAGANGNUGACGAGCGGCGGACGGGUGAGUAAUGCUUGGGAAUAUG